AUAUGUGACCUGUAAUUUCCUGUACCUCCCCAGAGAGGGGCGUUUUCCUGAGUGAGGACUCCUGAAAACAAAAUCUCAGAGAGGUGAGCAGCUCUUUUCCUGGGGUCAGGGACGACCAGCUUUGUCCAGAUGCCAGCUCCUUCUGCGGGACCAACCGGACUUGCCCACCUCUGGUGGCCCACCUCUGUCAGAGUCUUUGUUGAACUGUAGCUCAUAAUACUUGAGAUUGUUUACCUGAGCCUAUGAAGAGGAGAAAUUUUAAAGCCCUGCUCCCCCAACACCCUUUAGACCUCAUUUGUGCUGUUAAAGUGGCAACCUGUCCUCCUGGUUUACCAUCCAUCAAUGCCCCCUCCCAUCAUUUCUGCAAAGUCAAAGACCAGUUGACUUUAGAGAGAACCUGUGAACCUACCUACUCUACUACUGUUGGGGAAACUCUUUAAAAUAUGCAUUUCCUUUAGCUUGAUUAAAGGAAUGUUAAAGAAACCGUUUGGUUUCUCUUUCAGUUCGCGUGUUUAGAGCCACUCUGCCCCACUCAUUACCACUACUACCGCUAGCUUCCUUUGGAUUGCUUCCCUUUCCCCAUUCCCUGCCACUGAGCGUGUAGUACUUGGUUCCCAUGAUCUCUCACUCUGUGAACGCACCCAGGCUACACUGAUGAUCUUCUCUUUAUUGGUUGUUCCUCAACAUUCUUAGGUUAGUUGACUUCAUAUCGUAUCUUGAUGUUACUUUGGCUUUAUUUUGACUUUCCUAGCAUUUUAACCCUAGAAAGACGCCUCAAAUCUUAUACAACCCUAUAUUGGGGUGGAGGAAGGCGGCAGAUUGAUGCUAUGAGGACAUCUCGGUACUAGACAGACUUUUUCUGUGGCAUACAGCCAUGAAUUAUUUAUGCACCAGAAUGCACUCUCUAAGCACGCUGAUGGCCUUUGCCCUUCAGAAACAUUUGACGUUGGAAUUGUACGUGGAAAGACUCUUUCCCGCUUAAAAACAGGUCUGGUAACCUCUGGAAAGGAACGCUUUUGAAUUAUAAUGGGAAUUAUUUGGCAUCUGGAAGUGGCAUCACGAGAAGUCCACACUAGUAAUCAAAAGGGUAAGAUAAAAAGUGUUUUUGUCACAAAAGGAGAAGCACACUAGUCACGAUUUGAAUUUGUUAGUUUCUGAUUACUGUUAACUUACAAAUUGUCACCAUCCCAUUCCCUCCAUUGAGUCAUUUUGAGGUCAAAGAAUGGAAAACUCUAUUUAAGAAUCCAUAUAAAUAAUAAAUACAUGCUUGGAAAGAGUGUGAUAAAUUAAUACAAGAUGAACAAAUUAAAAAAAUAGUAUACUCUAUUGGUGUUUGGCAGAUUCAUGUUGAUGUAUGGCAAAACCAAUACAAUAUUGUAAAGUAAUUAGCCUCCAAUUAAAAUAAAUAAAUGUACAUUUAAAUUAAAAAAAAAAACAGUCACCAGAUUUAAGGCUUUACUUAGUUGAAAUCAGAAUUUUCCUUACUGGUGGUUUAUGUUUCUCUUCCCAAUUAGAUUUUAUCCAUUGUCAUUCAGUGAACAAAUUACUUUUGACUUUAUCCAUUCAUUCAUUCCUUUUACUCUUUAAGGAGAUUUGAAAGGCUUCCUUAUCCCAAACCCACAUACUAGUAUUAGAGUAAUAUUUACGUGACAGUUACUUAUAUGAAAUGGUUCAACCAGGAAGCUGCUGUUGCAUCCUUCGAUGUUUGCCCUUAAUUUUGCAGCCCCCUACCCUUUCUCGUGUUCCCUUAUAUUCCAUAUACCUAACCAACUACAAACAAUAGACUUCAUUUUAUUUGUGUUUAAAAAUAACUGGGGAGAAGAGUAAGUCAUGAUUCAGUUGAAACGUAAAAAUUAUUGUUAUUUUUUUUUUUCGGCAAGAAUUUCACUUUCUUUAUAUAAACUCUCUAAGCAAUUUGAAAUCACUUU
rnacentral:lncRNA from 1 species